UUUGAAUUUACUUUUGUGUAUGGGGCUAGACAAUGAUCCAUGUUUCCUCCUUUUUUGUAGCCAUCACCUUGGGCUUUGGAGGCGUGACCGAGACCACCAGCUGCAGGACCAAUACAUCAGUGUUUGGCAGCACCAUCUCAUCGCCCUUCACAUCCAGGGUGUCAGCAGGCCCCACUGGCAGUGGGGGCUUUGGGAGGAGCAUGGCUGCCCCCCACUGCACCUCCACCACUGGGGCAUUCGGCGCUGGGUCAGGAUGGAGUGGGAGAACUGGACUCAAGAACCCUUUCUGGGGAGCGUUGAAUCCAAACUCCUUGGCUGCAGCUGGCCAGAGCACACCCUCUACCUUCCACAUAGCCAGCACGCCUCAGGACACGUCUGGGAUUGCAGUUGAGAUUUGGAAUGGACUCGGUCUGCAGUGCAAGGCACUGUUUUAAGUGCUGACACAGUCUCUGCUUUUGGAGCUGUACGCUGUGGUGAAGAUUUAGAUGUCAUCGCAGACGUUAUCCAUUAACAGCUUAUCCAUUAGCACUGUAACUCAUGACCGGAGGAGCUAUUUAGGUAGUCAGCGGCAGCCUUUCUGACACAACAGCAAACUGAGGCCAUGGCCGCAGUUCCAGAGUUGGGAGCAGGGACCACAGUUGUGUCCAUCACAUCGGCCUUUGGAGCUAUGACCCUGACCACCAGCAGUGGGACCAGUAGCUCAGUCUUUGGCGGCCCACCUCAUCACCCUUCACAUCCAGAGUGUGAGCAGGUCCUGCUGGCAGUGGGGGCUUUCGGAUGAGCAUGGCUGCCCCCCACAGCAGCUCCACCACUGGGACAUUCGGCUUUGGGUCAGGACAGAGUGGGAGAACUGGUCUCAAGAACCUUUUGUGGGGAGGGUUGAAUCAGAACUGCCUGUUUGCAGCUGGCCACAGCACACCCUCUACCUUCCACAUGGCCAGCAUGCCUCAGAACACGUCUGGGAUUGCAGCCACCACAUCGGGCUUUGGAGCUAGGACCCAGAUCACCAGCAGCAGGACCAGUUGCUUAGUGUAUGGCAGUACCACCUCAUCACCCUUCACGUCCGGGGUGCCAGCAGGCCCCACUGGCAGUGGGGGCUUUGGGAUGAUCAUGGCUGCCCCCCACAGCAACUCCACCACCAGGACAUUCCACUUUGCAGCAAGGCGGAGUGGGAAAACUGGUGGUACAGCCCCUUUCAAAGGAGGCUUGAUUUAGAACUCCCUGGGUGCUGCUGGCCAGAGCACACCCUCUGUCUGUCAUGUGGCCAGCACCCCUCAGAACACAUCUGUGUUUGCAGCCACCACCUCGGGUUUUGGAGCUACGACCCACACCACCAGCAGUGGGACCAGUAGUUCAGUGUUUGGGAGCAGCACCUCAUCACCCUUCAUGUCUGGGGUGUCAGCAGGCCCUGUUCACAGUUGGGGCUUUGGGAUGAGCGUGGCUGUCCCCCACAGCAGCUCCACAGCUGGGGAAUUCAACUUUGGGGAGUACAGAGUGGGAGCACUGGUGUCACGGCCCCUUUCUGGGGUGGCUUGAGUAAGAACUACCUGGGUGCAGCUGGCCAGAGCACACCCUUUGCCUUCCACGUGGCCAGCAUGCCUCAGAACACGUCUGUGUUUGCACAUCAGGUUUGGAAUGGGGUCGGUGCCGGAGUCCAGCUCCAGCUGAGGUGUGGGUCACGAAGGAAAGGACAGCGUCAGCGAAUGAGAUGAAUGAGGAGACGAAACACCCAAUUAAAGUUGUAACAUCUCCUGACAUCAAGUGGCAGGGUCUUUAUUUUUGUAUCUUUUUAUGGUUUUCAUAAUGUUGAACAUUUUUUAAAAUUAUGAAUAAAACAUUCCUUUUU